rnacentral:rRNA from 1 species
CGCGCAGGCGGCUUCUUAAGUCCAUCUUAAAAGUGCGGGGCUUAACCCCGUGAUGGGAUGGAAACUGAGAGGCUGGAGUAUCGGAGAGGAAAGUGGAAUUCCUAGUGUAGCGGUGAAAUGCGUAGAGAUUAGGAAGAACACCGGUGGCGAAGGCGACUUCUGACGACAACUGACGCUGAGGCGCGGAAGCGUGGGGAGGCAAAACA